UACGUAGGGUGCAAGCGUUGUCCGGAAUCACUGGGCGUAAAGGGUGCGUAGGCGGGUCUUUAAGUCAGGGGUGAAAUCCUGGAGCUCAACUCCAGAACUGCCUUUGAUACUGAGGAUCUUGAGUUCGGGAGAGGUGAGUGGAACUGCGAGUGUAGAGGUGAAAUUCGUAGAUAUUCGCAAGAACACCAGUGGCGAAGGCGGCUCACUGGCCCGAUACUGACGCUGAGGCACGAAAGCGUGGGGAGCAAACAGG
rnacentral:rRNA from 1 species